rnacentral:rRNA from 1 species
GACGAACGCUGGCGGCGUGCUUAACACAUGCAAGUCGAACGGUGAAGCGCCUUCCUUUUUGGUGGGUGUGGAUGAGUGGCGAACGGGUGAGUAACACGUGAGUAACCUGCCCCCUUCUUCUGGAUAACCGCAUGAAAGUGUGGCUAAUACGGGAUAUUCUGGGUCUGUCGCAUGAUGGGUCUGGGAAAGAUAUUGUUUCGGUGGGGGAUGGGCUCGCGGCCUAUCAGCUUGUUGGUGGGGUGAUGGCCUACCAAGGCGGUGACGGGUAGCCGGCCUGAGAGGGUGGACGGUCACACUGGGACUGAGACACGGCCCAGACUCCUACGGGAGGCAGCAGUGGGGAAUAUUGCACAAUGGGCGCAAGCCUGAUGCAGCGACGCCGCGUGAGGGAUGGAGGCCUUCGGGUUGUGAACCUCUUUCGCCAGUGAAGCAGGCCUGCCUCGUUUGUGGGUGGGUUGACGAUAGCUGGAUAAGAAGCGCCGGCUAACUACGUG